UGCCAGGCCGUAGAAUGGGGUCCUAGUCUUCCUGUCAUAUCAUAACAUUACUUACCAUUUCCCCAGGGCCUCAUCUGGCACCUGGUCUCCGCAUUCCAUAUCGUGCCAGGCCGUAGAAUGGGGUCCUGGUCUUUCAUUCCGUGCCAGGCCGUAGAAUGGGGUCCUGGUCUUUCCUCAGGGACUAUUUGGAUCAUACAACAUUCACCCACAUCCACAAUAAAGAAUGCAGUGCAACAUAUUCGU
rnacentral:lncRNA from 1 species